rnacentral:rRNA from 1 species
UACGGAGGGAGCUAGCGUUGUUCGGAAUUACUGGGCGUAAAGGGCGCGUAGGCGGCCUGCUAAGUCGAACGUGAAAUCCCUGGGCUCAACCCAGGAACUGCGUCCGAUACUGGUUGGCUUGAAUCCGGGAGAGGGACGUGGAAUUCCAGGUGUAGCGGUGAAAUGCGUAGAUAUCUGGAGGAACACCGGUGGCGAAGGCGGCUCACUGGCUCGUAUCUGACGCUCAGGCGCGACAGCGUGGGGAUCAAACAGG